CUACGCCGCGGUGAAUACGUUCCCGGGCCUUGUACACACCGUCCCGUCACACCACGAAAGUCAGCAACACCCAAAAUCCCUUCGGGGCCUAAGGUGCGGUUGGUGAUUGGGGUG
rnacentral:rRNA from 1 species